UAUACAUGCAGUCGAGCGGACAGAUGGGAGCUUGCUCCCUGAUGUUAGCGGCGGACGGGUGAGUAACACGUGGGUAACCUGCCUGUAAGACUGGGAUAACUCCGGGAAACCGGGGCUAAUACCGGAUGGUUGUUUGAACCGCAUGGUUCAAACAUAAAAGGUGGCUUCGGCUACCACUUACAGAUGGACCCGCGGCGCAUUAGCUAGUUGGUGAGGUAACGGCUCACCAAGGCAACGAUGCGUAGCCGACCUGAGAGGGUGAUCGGCCACACUGGGACUGAAACACGGCCCAGACUCCUACGGGAGGCAGCAGUAGGGAAUCUUCCGCAAUGGACGAAAGUCUGACGGAGCAACGCCGCGUGAGUGAUGAAGGUUUUCGGAUCGUAAAGCUCUGUUGUUAGGGAAAAACAAGUACCGUUCGAAUAGGGCGGUACCUUGACGGUACCUAACCAAAAAGCCACGGUUAACUACGUGCCAGCAGCCGCGGUAAUACGUAGGUGGCAAGCGUUGUCCGGAAUUAUUGGGCGUAAAGGGCUCGCAGGCGGUUUCUUAAGUCUGAUGUGAAACCCCCCGGCUCAACCGGGGAGGGUCAUUGGAAACUGGGGAACUUGAGUGCAAAAGAGGAGAGGGGAAUUCCACGUGUAGCGGUGAAAUGCGUAAAGAUGUGGAGGAACACCAGUGGGGGAAGGCGACUCUCUGGUCUGUAACUGACGCUGAGGA
rnacentral:rRNA from 1 species